AUUGAACGCUAGCGGGAUGCUUUACACAUGCAAGUCGAACGAGUGGCGGACGGGUGAGCAAUAUAUCUGAAUGUGCCCAGUAGCGGGGGUUAACUACCCGAAAGAGUGGCUAAUACCGCAUAAUAGUGGAGCGGCCGAUAUCGGAUUAUCUAGUUGGUGGGGUAAAGGCUUACCAAGGCAACGAUCCGUAGCUGGUUUGAGAGGAGGACCAGCCACACUGGAACUGAGACACGGCCCAGACUCCUACGGGAGGCAGCAGUGGGGAAUUUUGGACAAUGGGGGAAACCCUGAUCCAGCCAUCCCGCGUGUAUGAGAAGGCCUUCGGAUUGUAAAGUACUUUUGGCAGGGAAGCGGUAUCUGCAGAAUAAGCACCGGCUAACUACGUGCCAGCAGCCGCGGUAAUAC
rnacentral:rRNA from 1 species